rnacentral:misc_RNA from 1 species
UGGUUCUGGCAUCGAUGAAGAACGCAGCGAAAUGCGAUAAGUAAUGUGAAUUGCAGAAUUCAGUGAAUCAUCGAAUCUUUGAACGCACAUUGCGCCCCUUGGUAUUCCGGGGGGCAUGCCUGUUCGAGCGUCAUUUCAACCCUCAAGCAUAGCUUGGUCUUGGGCACUGUCGGUAGCGACAUGCCUUAAAAUUAGUGGCGGUGCCAACCGGGCUCUACGCGUAGUAACUAAAUUUCGCGUUUGGGUCUGAGUGGAUGCUUGCCAGUAACCCAUCUUUCUAUGGUUGACCUCGGAUCAGGUAGGGAUACCCGCUGA